rnacentral:rRNA from 1 species
UUCUUUGUAAAAUGAGAACUAUAACUAAUAUAGGUCAAGCUACAAAGGGCGCAUGGUGAAAAGCUGCGAUAAGCUUCGGGUAGGCGCACAUAGCCUGAGAUCCGAAGAUCUCCGAAUGAGGAAACUCACAUGGGAAACCCCAUGUAUCAUUAAGUGAAUACAUAGCUUAAUGAAGGUAACCCAGGGAACUGAAACAUCUAAGUACCUGGAGGAAGAGAAAGAAAAAUCGAUUUUCUUAGUAGCGGCGAGCGAAAGGGAAAGAGCCCAAACCGGAAACUUGUUUCCGGGGUUGUGGACAUAACAUAAAAGUGGAGGCUAUUGUAACUGAAGAGAACUGGAAAGUUCCACCGUAGAAGGUAAUAGUCCUGUAAGUGAAACGAGAAGACCACGAGUUAUGAUCCAGAGUACCACGAGACACGUGAAACCUUGUGGGAAGCAGGGAGGACCACCUCCCAAGGCUAAAUACUACCUGAUGACCGAUAGUGAAGCAGUACCGUGAGGGAAAGGUGAAAAGAACCCCGGGAGGGGAGUGAAAUAGAACCUGAAACCGUGUGCCUACAACCGCUCAGAGCCCCUUAUGAGGGUGAUGAGGUGCUUUUUGUAGAACGAGCCAACGAGUUACGGUAUGUAGCAAGGUUAAGUACUUAAGGUACGGAGCCGAAGGGAAACCGAGUCUGAAUAGGGCGACUAGUUGCAUGCCGUAGACCCGAAACCGGGUGACCUAUCCAUGGCCAGGUUGAAGCGAGGGUAAAACCUCGUGGAGGACCGAACCACGUUGCUGUUGAAAAAGCAUGGGAUGAGCUGUGGAUAGCGGAGAAAUUCCAAUCGAACCCGGAGAUAGCUGGUUCUCUCCGAAAUAGCUUUAGGGCUAGCGUCGAGUAUGAGUAGUGGAGGUAGAGCACUGAAUGGGCUAGGGGGCAUAGCGCUUACCGAACCUUAUCAAACUCCGAAUGCCACAUACUUUGAGCUCGGCAGUCAGACUACGAAUGAUAAGAUCCGUGGUCAAAAGGGAAACAGCCCAGAUCGUCAGCUAAGGUCCCAAAGUGUAAGUUAAGUGGGAAAGGAUGUGAGAUUUCUAAGACAACUAGGAUGUUGGCUUAGAAGCAGCCAUUCAUUAAAAGAGUGCGUAAUAGCUCACUAGUCGAGAGAUCUUGCGCCGAAAAUGUAACGGGGCUAAACUUACCACCGAAGCUACGGGCUUGAACUUAGUUCAAGCGGUAGGAGAGCGUCGUAACCGGGCUGAAGUCGUACCGUAAGGAGCGGUGGACUGGUUACGAGUGAGAAUGUUGGCAUCAGUAGCGAGAUGUGGGUGAGAAUCCCACAGGCCGAAAACCUAAGGUUUCCUCAGGAAGGUUCGUCCGCUGAGGGUUAGUCGGGACCUAAGCCGAGGCCGAAAGGCGUAGGUGAUGGACAACUGGUUGAUAUUCCAGUACCACUACCAUCGUUAUUAUCGAUGGCGUGACGCAGGAGGAUAGUGUGUGCUAGCUAUUGGAUGCUAGUCUAAGCGUUUAGGCAGUGAGAGUAGGCAAAUCCGCUCUCAUAAUGCUGAGGCGUGAUGGGGAAGGUUCCACGGAACCGAAGUACAUGAUUCCACGCUGCCAAGAAAAGCGUCUAGAGAGAGAAGUAGUGCCCGUACCGCAAACCGACACAGGUAGGUGAGGAGAGAAUCCUAAGGCCGGCGGAAGAAUUACAGUUAAGGAACUCGGCAAAUUGACCCCGUAAGUUCGCGAGAAGGGGUGCCUACGAGAGUAGGCCGCAGAGAAUAGGCCCAAGCAACUGUUUAGCAAAAACACAGGUCUCUGCUAAAGCGUAAGCUGAUGUAUAGGGGCUGACGCCUGCCCGGUGCUGGAAGGUUAAGGGGAACACUUAGCGCAAGCGAAGGUGUGAACUUAAGCCCCAGUAAACGGCGGCCGUAACUAUAACGGUCCUAAGGUAGCGAAAUUCCUUGUCAGGUAAGUUCUGACCCGCACGAAUGGCGUAAUGACUUGGGCACUGUCUCAACUGUAAAUCCGGCGAAGUUGUAGUGCGAGUGAAGAUGCUCGCUACCCGCGAUUGGACGGAAAGACCCCGUAGAGCUUUACUGUAGCUUAGCAUUGAGUUUUGGUAUUGUCUGUACAGGAUAGGUGGGAGACUAGGAAACCAGGGCGUCAGCCUUGGUGGAGUCAACCUUGGGAUACCACCCUGACAGUACUGAAAUUCUAACUGGCGGCCAUGAAUCUGGUCACAGGACAUUGUUAGGUGGGCAGUUUGACUGGGGCGGUCGCCUCCUAAAAAGUAACGGAGGCGCCCAAAGGUUCCCUCAGAACGGUCGGAAAUCGUUCGAAGAGUGCAAAGGCAGAAGGGAGCCUGACUGCGACACCCACAAGUGGAGCAGGGACGAAAGUCGGGCUUAGUGAUCCGGUGGUACCUCGUGGGAGGGCCAUCGCUCAACGGAUAAAAGCUACCUCGGGGAUAACAGGCUGAUCUCCCCCAAGAGUCCACAUCGACGGGGAGGUUUGGCACCUCGAUGUCGGCUCGUCGCAUCCUGGGGCUGAAGUAGGUCCCAAGGGUUGGGCUGUUCGCCCAUUAAAGCGGCACGCGAGCUGGGUUCAGAACGUCGUGAGACAGUUCGGUCCCUAUCCGUCGCGGGCGUAGGAAAUUUGAGAGGA